AGCUGUUCUCCAGAUUAACACUACUACAUAUUCAAAGGCUGCAGAUGAGAGAGAUACAGUAUUUCAGAGCGGCUCUAAUCUCCACGAGGCCCCGGCGGCUGUGCUGCUUUCAUCCCAUUUCAUUGUGUUUCUCCCAUCCAGGUGAGGAGUCCUGUGCCGAUCACGCCAGCGCGCCUCCAGACAGCGUUCGCAGACUGACGGACGCGCGGCUUCCAGCGGCGCCCGCUCGGACGGAUACGCGCGGGUUAGACAGGAAGCUGGCACGACGCCGCCAGACCCGACACGCCAGGCUGAGGGAUGAAUGUCACCGUGGGCACUAAUGCCAGUUGAGAGAUGCCACCAUAGAUUCCACCCCAAGACAUCUGGAGUCCCAGGUGCCCGGCCCACCAUUCCAGGUCUCAGCUGCAGGAAGCCAAGAGCCCGCACGGUUGCCAAGAGCCUCCCAACACCAGCCAAGCCACACUGAAGCUUAUCAGCUCCAGCACAACCCUUUAUGGGGCUAUUCACCUCAAUCAAAGCUGCUAUUUAGGUAACGAGCCAAGAUGGCGGAUAUUGCCGCGCGCCUCCAUCUUUCGCUGCCAGCUUCCUCGCGAACCGUGAUUCUCCUCAGCAGGCCCAGCUGCUCUGGCGCCGCUCCACUUCCUCAGUAUCGGUUCAGAGGGAGACCUUUGAGAAGAGAGAGGCUCUGUCAGGGCUGGAUUCACCGCUGUUGGAGACGGCCAUGGUGCUUGGUUCGGCAGUCUAGGACACACGGUAGGAGAGGCCAGGCCACUGGAGAUGGACAGAAGCGAGGCAGCCGUCGAGCAGACAGAUGGAGCAGGGCAGAGGGCUGGUGAGGGAGGACGCAGACAGAAGAGGAACAGAAGAGGAGGCAUGUGGAUUAUUUUUUAAUGAAAUUCCUGGGACAUCCAGCCUCCCUAAAUAUAUUGACCUGGAUCUGCCCACGGCGUCACCUCGUGAUUGUUUGUUUGCAUUUAUUGCGUUCAGGCGUCUGUGAGACGUGCCUUCUGAAUAUUUCACGUUAGUUAAGGAGAAAAGGAGGCUCCUUAUCUGUUUCCCAGAGAGCCACACAAAGAGAAAAGAGAAAUCGGUCAUCACGGGGUGUUACAGUGGAUAUCACAGCUAACACAAGCAAUUGCCUUCCAGCUUGGGGGCUUUUGAGUGUUAAUCCAUCUUGACAAAGUUUGCUCCAGAGUGCGCUGCUCGGAGCGCGGGGUUUUAUCUGCUCGUGCGGUUUGUGCUGCUGCCAGGACGACAUCCGCGAAGAGAAAAACUCUCCCAGUCCCACGUGCAAAGAAACGGUGACGCGAGGACGAACGGGGACCUUUGCUUCUGUGCAGUUUUUGUUCGAUACGUCGGCUUUUGACUCUUCGGAGUAAAGAAAAGGUUCCGAUGGAGCCGGUGGAUCCUCACGUGUCCAGACUGUGUGAACUACUACCUAUUUGAGCUCAUGGGGCCUUUGAGGGCAACUCAUUCCAACAAUGAAGUGCAUUUAUCAUCUCUCUGGGAAUAGAGAAGUAAAGCGGUCCUGAAACAACUGCCGUCGAGACAAAAUCUCCUUUCACUUGGCCAGAUAAGCUGGAUGAAAUCCAAAUUUCAUCAAACAAAUACAUUACCACAUUUCCCUGUAGGGAGAAGGCGGCGGUGGAAUUGCAGAGCCUACAGCCGCUGCAGGGGUUCUUAUCUUUCAUCCUUAUGAUAAGAUAAAACAUUUUCCCAUUCCCUUUGUUUUACAUCUCACAUCUUUGGAGACAAGGUGAUCUCUGCUGGAGGUGUGAGUGCCCAUGUUAAGCAGCCUGUUACCAAAGGAGAGACGUCAUUCAUUAUGGAAAAUGUUUAAUGACACCCUCCCUGAUGUGGAACUAGACUGUCCUGCCGCUGCAUUCUUAAUGGCAUGAUAAAAUAUUUAAGAAAUGAAUAAAGACUAAGUUGACAAAGCA
rnacentral:lncRNA from 1 species